GACAACAGAACCUGUAGUUGUUUGAAGAGGAGGUUUCACUAGUGACCUGUACCCUUGGUAAUAACAGGCUUUAUAGUUAACAAAAUGUGUUCUCUCCCUACUUAAUAACAAAACACCAAUCAUGAGAUAAUGCUUAGCAAAGCUGACUCAUUUCCUCCUUUACAGAUGAAAGGAGUUGUCCAAGAAAUGACAAUCUCCCAGGGGAAUUUUCCUUCAGGUCAUUACCCAAGCAAGGUUUGGAGAUUCUGCAGCUGUCACCCCCAGCGUCUCUGUAGGAUAGCCUCGUGCCCCUCUUCACCCAGGUCUGCAGGAGGGUGGCAGCGCGGCUUGAGAAGGCUGGGUGGCGGAGCUCGGAGGCGUGCAGUGUUCCCACCACACUGCGGUGGCUCAACUGCCCGGGCUGUGGGGUUUCCAGCUGGGUCAUGUUGACUUGAACCGACUCAGCAGGCGGUGACCCCCUGGAGCACCUGAAGCCUUCAGAGAAAUAUGAUGGAAAACCAAGAGGCCUCCACCUCCCUGACUUGCUGCAACCUCCUGGGCUUUGCAGUCGGGCUGCUUUUGCAGAUGCACUCCUCAAAGCUAGCUCGGCAGACAUUUAUUUUUAAAUAUACAGGAAGCCAAAGACGUUGAGAGAAAAGCCGCCUAAUGCAUUCCUCCGCUCAUCUCCAAAGUCAUCGCUAGUUUUCUAGACGCGAUUUUCAUCGGUCUUUCCGAAGACAGAAAGAGCCUCCUCUACAUAGGGCUUCCUUCUUUGCCUUCAUCUGUAAUGUGAGCCUUGCCCUAGGUUGCCUCUUUCUCUACUUGCUCUGUCUGCUUCACAGUUCUCCUGUCAUUUCAGCAGUUGUACCAUGCUUUUUGUUGUUAGGAAAUCACAAAUUGUGAAACACAUUCAAGUGAGCACAUUUAAAAAUAACCUAGGCUUCUCUACUAUUUAGAGACCAAUGGUAUUGUUCCGAAUUUGGAGUCUGAGAGUCUCAACCUCGCCUUAUCCUUCACCAGCCAGGACAGCGGCUAGGACUGAAGUUGUUUGAAUGCAAAACAAAGGCUUGGAGUGCAUGGGAACACAUUUUAGGGGUGCCGCAGCUGGAAGUCAGCCUCUGAGGGUCUCCUGCAAGACUCAGGCUUGGACGUGAGUAGUGGCCUCCAAGGGCCUGGACCUCACACAGCUCAAGUGAUACCAGCCCAGCUCUUUGCCAAGCUUCCUCUAGACAAUACGGCCUGUAUUCCUCUAGACAAUACAUUCCUAGACAAUACGGACUGAAUCAUGUCCCCUCAAAUCCAUAUAUUGAAGUCCUAACCCUAAAUGUGACUGUAUUUGGAGACAGGGCAUUUAAGGAGGUCAUUCAGGUUAAAUGAUGUCAUAAGGUCGGGUCCCUAAUCCAACAAGACUGGUGUCCUCACAAGAAGAGGAAGAAGCCCAGCGAUCUCUUUCUCUCCCACGCACACAAAGGGAAGGCCAUGUGAGGACACUGAGAAGGUGGCCCUUUGAAUCCAAGGGGAGAGGCCUUGUCAGACAUCAACACUGCUGGCACCUCAAUCUUGGACUUUCCAUCUCCAGAACUGAGAGGAAAUGCAUUUUUCUUUUGGUUGAAGCGCCCAGGCUGCGGGGUUCUGUUUCAGCAGCCUGAGCUGCCGAAGAAGGGGGGUUGUUUCAAGCACCUGAUCCACCUGCCUUGGCCUCCCAAAGUGCUGAGGUUUCAGGGAUGUGCCACCAUGC